CCUCCGCGCGCCCGUGCCGCGCCGCCUGGGCCCGCGCUCGCUGAGGAUGCAUUCUGCAACCUGUACAGGAUAAGCAAAGCAGCUCGUGCCGCAAGCACCAUCCACCGGCCAUCCCGUCGCUGCGACCUGCAAGUGGAAUGCGACAAGGAGAGAAGCCCAGUCAGCAUCGUCGGGCUUUAGCAGCUCGUGCUCCAUCCACCCCGCCAGCGCCCCCGCCGUCCGCGCGCCGGCGUCGCAGCACCGAGCUGUCGGUCCAUCCGUCUCAGGCCACCGCGGCAUCCUGGAGGAGCGAGUGCCGUCAGCGGAGUGCAAGGGGAGUGGGAGUCGGCGGAUGCUCACGGGAACUCGUCGGACCUGGUGGCCUAGCGGUGGGGAUUCGAGGUAGGAGACGGAGCUGACUUGUGGGGCCUGCAUGAAAGUGAGAUGAGCUGCCGGAUCCAGCUGUUAGAGAGGGGAGGAGAGGAGCUGAUAGGGGAAGAGAGGACAUUUCAGCUGAGCUUGUUGACCGGGCACCAACGUGUGAGGAUGGCGUGGCGUGUCACAUCAGCAUUUGUGAUAAAAAUAUGACUCAAACUUCUCUCCACCGAUAUAGUUGUGGUAAAAAUAUAACUCAAACUUCUCUCCA